rnacentral:rRNA from 1 species
AUUGAACGCUGGCGGCAUGCUUUACACAUGCAAGUCGAACGGCAGCGAGGAGAAGCUUGCUUCUCUGUCGGCGAGUGGCGAACGGGUGAGUAUAGCAUCGGAACGUGCCAAGUAGUGGGGGAUAACCAAACGAAAGUUUGGCUAAUACCGCGUAAGCUCUAAGGAGGAAAGUAGGGGACCUAAAUAAGGCCUUACGCUAUUUGAUCGGCCGAUGUCGGAUUAGCUAGUUGGUGGGGUAAUGGCUCACCAAGGCAAUGAUCCGUAGCGGGUCUGAGAGGACGAUCCGCCACACUGGGACUGAGACACGGCCCAGACUCCUACGGGAGGCAGCAGUGGGGAAUUUUGGACAAUGGGGGAAAACCUGAUCCAGCCAUGCCGCGUGUAUGAAGAAGGCCUUAGGGUUGUAAAGUACUUUUGUUAGGGAAGAAAAGCUAGUUUUUAAUAAAAAUUAGUGAUGACGGUACCUAAAGAAUAAGCACCGGCUAACUACGUG